rnacentral:rRNA from 1 species
GGGUUGUGAGGUUAAGCGACUAAGCGUACACGGUGGAUGCCCUGGCAGUCAGAGGCGAUGAAGGACGUGCUAAUCUGCGAUAAGCGUCGGUAAGGUGAUAUGAACCGUUAUAACCGGCGAUUUCCGAAUGGGGAAACCCAGUGUGUUUCGACACACUAUCAUUAACUGAAUCCAUAGGUUAAUGAGGCGAACCGGGAGAACUGAAACAUCUAAGUACCCCGAGGAAAAGAAAUCAACCGAGAUUCCCCCAGUAGCGGCGAGCGAACGGGGAGCAGCCCAGAGCCUGAAUCAGUGUGUGUGUUAGUGGAAGCGUCUGGAAAGGCGCGCGAUACAGGGUGACAGCCCCGUACACAAAAAUGCACAUGCUGUGAGCUCGAUGAGUAGGGCGGGACACGUGGUAUCCUGUCUGAAUAUGGGGGGACCAUCCUCCAAGGCUAAAUACUCCUGACUGACCGAUAGUGAACCAGUACCGUGAGGGAAAGGCGAAAAGAACCCCGGCGAGGGGAGUGAAAAAGAACCUGAAACCGUGUACGUACAAGCAGUGGGAGCACGCUUAGGCGUGUGACUGCGUACCUUUUGUAUAAUGGGUCAGCGACUUAUAUUCUGUAGCAAGGUUAACCGAAUAGGGGAGCCGAAGGGAAACCGAGUCUUAACUGGGCGUUAAGUUGCAGGGUAUAGACCCGAAACCCGGUGAUCUAGCCAUGGGCAGGUUGAAGGUUGGGUAACACUAACUGGAGGACCGAACCGACUAAUGUUGAAAAAUUAGCGGAUGACUUGUGGCUGGGGGUGAAAGGCCAAUCAAACCGGGAGAUAGCUGGUUCUCCCCGAAAGCUAUUUAGGUAGCGCCUCGUGAAUUCAUCUCCGGGGGUAGAGCACUGUUUCGGCAAGGGGGUCAUCCCGACUUACCAACCCGAUGCAAACUGCGAAUACCGGAGAAUGUUAUCACGGGAGACACACGGCGGGUGCUAACGUCCGUCGUGAAGAGGGAAACAACCCAGACCGCCAGCUAAGGUCCCAAAGUCAUGGUUAAGUGGGAAACGAUGUGGGAAGGCCCAGACAGCCAGGAUGUUGGCUUAGAAGCAGCCAUCAUUUAAAGAAAGCGUAAUAGCUCACUGGUCGAGUCGGCCUGCGCGGAAGAUGUAACGGGGCUAAACCAUGCACCGAAGCUGCGGCAGCGACGCUUAUGCGUUGUUGGGUAGGGGAGCGUUCUGUAAGCCUGUGAAGGUGUGCUGUGAGGCAUGCUGGAGGUAUCAGAAGUGCGAAUGCUGACAUAAGUAACGAUAAAGCGGGUGAAAAGCCCGCUCGCCGGAAGACCAAGGGUUCCUGUCCAACGUUAAUCGGGGCAGGGUGAGUCGACCCCUAAGGCGAGGCCGAAAGGCGUAGUCGAUGGGAAACAGGUUAAUAUUCCUGUACUUGGUGUUACUGCGAAGGGGGGACGGAGAAGGCUAUGUUGGCCGGGCGACGGUUGUCCCGGUUUAAGCGUGUAGGCUGGUUUUCCAGGCAAAUCCGGAAAAUCAAGGCUGAGGCGUGAUGACGAGGCACUACGGUGCUGAAGCAACAAAUGCCCUGCUUCCAGGAAAAGCCUCUAAGCAUCAGGUAACAUCAAAUCGUACCCCAAACCGACACAGGUGGUCAGGUAGAGAAUACCAAGGCGCUUGAGAGAACUCGGGUGAAGGAACUAGGCAAAAUGGUGCCGUAACUUCGGGAGAAGGCACGCUGAUAUGUAGGUGAAGCGACUUGCUCGUGGAGCUGAAAUCAGUCGAAGAUACCAGCUGGCUGCAACUGUUUAUUAAAAACACAGCACUGUGCAAACACGAAAGUGGACGUAUACGGUGUGACGCCUGCCCGGUGCCGGAAGGUUAAUUGAUGGGGUCAGCGCAAGCGAAGCUCUUGAUCGAAGCCCCGGUAAACGGCGGCCGUAACUAUAACGGUCCUAAGGUAGCGAAAUUCCUUGUCGGGUAAGUUCCGACCUGCACGAAUGGCGUAAUGAUGGCCAGGCUGUCUCCACCCGAGACUCAGUGAAAUUGAACUCGCUGUGAAGAUGCAGUGUACCCGCGGCAAGACGGAAAGACCCCGUGAACCUUUACUAUAGCUUGACACUGAACAUUGAGCCUUGAUGUGUAGGAUAGGUGGGAGGCUUAGAAGUGUGGACGCCAGUCUGCAUGGAGCCGACCUUGAAAUACCACCCUUUAAUGUUUGAUGUUCUAACGUUGACCCGUAAUCCGGGUUGCGGACAGUGUCUGGUGGGUAGUUUGACUGGGGCGGUCUCCUCCUAAAGAGUAACGGAGGAGCACGAAGGUUGGCUAAUCCUGGUCGGACAUCAGGAGGUUAGUGCAAUGGCAUAAGCCAGCUUGACUGCGAGCGUGACGGCGCGAGCAGGUGCGAAAGCAGGUCAUAGUGAUCCGGUGGUUCUGAAUGGAAGGGCCAUCGCUCAACGGAUAAAAGGUACUCCGGGGAUAACAGGCUGAUACCGCCCAAGAGUUCAUAUCGACGGCGGUGUUUGGCACCUCGAUGUCGGCUCAUCACAUCCUGGGGCUGAAGUAGGUCCCAAGGGUAUGGCUGUUCGCCAUUUAAAGUGGUACGCGAGCUGGGUUUAGAACGUCGUGAGACAGUUCGGUCCCUAUCUGCCGUGGGCGCUGGAGAACUGAGGGGGGCUGCUCCUAGUACGAGAGGACCGGAGUGGACGCAUCACUGGUGUUCGGGUUGUCAUGCCAAUGGCACUGCCCGGUAGCUAAAUGCGGAAGAGAUAAGUGCUGAAAGCAUCUAAGCACGAAACUUGCCCCGAGAUGAGUUCUCCCUGACCCUUUAAGGGUCCUGAAGGAACGUUGAAGACGACGACGUUGAUAGGCCGGGUGUGUAAGCGCAGCGAUGCG